rnacentral:rRNA from 1 species
GCAAGUCGAGCGGAAACGAUGAGAGCUUGCUCUCAGGCGUCGAGCGGCGGACGGGUGAGUAACGCGUAGGAAUCUACCCAGUAGCGGGGGAUAGCCCGGGGAAACCCGGAUUAAUACCGCAUACGCCCCACGGGGGAAAGCAGGGGACCUUCGGGCCUUGCACUAUUGGAUGAGCCUAUGUCAGAUUAGCUUGUUGGUGGGGUAAUGGCCUACCAAGGCGACGAUCUGUAGCUGGUCUGAGAGGACGAUC